UACGGAGGGUGCAAGCGUUAUCCGGAUUCACUGGGUUUAAAGGGUGCGUAGGUGGGCAGGUAAGUCAGUGGUGAAAUCUCCGGGCUUAACCCGGAAACUGCCAUUGAUACUAUCAGUCUUGAAUACCGUGGAGGUAAGCGGAAUAUGUCAUGUAGCGGUGAAAUGCUUAGAUAUGACAUAGAACACCAAUUGCGAAGGCAGCUUACUACCCGAAUAUUGACACUGAGGCACGAAAGCGUGGGGAUCAAGCAGG
rnacentral:rRNA from 1 species